rnacentral:rRNA from 1 species
UACAGAGGGGGCUAGCGUUAUUCGGAAUUAUUGGGCGUAAAGGGCGCGUAGGCGGCCAUGCGUGUCUUCCGUGAAAUCCCUCGGCUUAACUGAGGACGUGCGGAAGAAACUGCAAGGCUCGAGUCCGGGAGAGGGGGGUGGAAUUCCCAGUGUAGCGGUGAAAUGCGUAGAUAUUGGGAGGAACACCGGUGGCGAAGGCGGCCCCCUGGACCGGUACUGACGCUGAGGCGCUAAAGCGUGGGUAGCAAACGGG